rfam:Gossypium raimondii Chr05_contig_824, whole genome shotgun sequence.
AUUCUGUGAUGAGGGCAUCUUCGUAAUAGUUCUCUAAACCUCUCUCACGCCUCAUACAAGGACUUGUCAUCCAAAGUUGGAAGGUAGUGAUCUCAUUCCUUAACUU